AGCCUGGUAGCACAGUGGUUAGUGCACCUGACUCACAAUCAGGAGGGCCUGGGUUUGAAUCCCAGGUCAGGUUA